rnacentral:rRNA from 1 species
UUAAGCAUGCAAGUCGAGCGGGCUUAUUCGGGCAACUGGAUAAGUUAGCGGCGAACUGGUGAGUAACACGUAGGUAAUCUGCCGUAGAGUGGGGGAUAACCCAUGGAAACAUGGACUAAUACCGCAUAUACUCUUGACGCUAAAGCGUAGUAAGAGGAAAGGAGCAAUCCGCUUUACGAUGAGCCUGCGGCCUAUUAGCCUGU